GGGGCCUUAGCUCAGAUGGGAGAGCACCUGCUUUGCAAGCAGGGGGUCAUCGGUUCGAUUCCGUUAGGCUCCA
rnacentral:tRNA from 1 species